rnacentral:rRNA from 1 species
AGCAUAUCAAUAAGCGGAGGAAAAGAAACUAACAAGGAUUCCCCUAGUAACGGCGAGUGAAGCGGGAAGAGCUCAAAUUUAAAAUCUGGCAGCAUUAGUUGUCCGAGUUGUAGUCUAGAGAAGCAUCAUCCGCGCUGGACCAUGUACAAGUCUCUUGGAACAGAGCGUCAUAGAGGGUGAGAAUCCCGUCCUUGACAUGGACUCCCGGUACUUUGUGUUGUGCUCUCAACGAGUCGAGUUGUUUGGGAAUGCAGCUCAAAAUGGGUGGUAAAUUCCAUCUAAAGCUAAAUAUUGGCGAGAGACCGAUAGCGAACAAGUACCGUGAGGGAAAGAUGAAAAGCACUUUGGAGAGAGAGUUAAACAGUACGUGAAAUUGUUGAAAUGGAAACGCUUGAAGUCAGUCGCGUUCUCUGGGAUUCAGCCUUGNNUCUGCUUGGUGCAUUUCCUAGUCUACGGGCCAGCAUGAAUUUUGACCGGUGCAAAAAGGAUUUGGGGAAUGUGGCACUUCGGGUGUGUUAUAGCCCCUUGUCACAUACACCGGUUGGGAUUGAGGUCUUAGUGCACGCUUCGGUUGUGCUUUGAUGCUGGCGUAAUGGCUUUAAACGACCCNGUCUUGAAACACGGACCAAGGAGUCUAACAUGUCUGCGAGUGUUUGGGUGCAAAACCCGAGCGCGAAAUGAAAGUGAUAGUUGGGAACCUUUUCGGAGGGGCACCGACNCCCGGACCAGACCUUCUGUGACGGAUCCGAGGUAGAGCAUAUAUGUUGGGACCCGAAAGAUGGUGAACUAUGCCUGCAUAGGGUGAAGCCAGAGGAAACUCUGGUGGAGGCUCGUAGCGAUUCUGACGUGCAAAUCGAUCGUCAAAUGUGGGUAUAGGGGCGAAAGACUAAUCGAACCAU